AGCGAACGCUGGCGGCAGGCCUAACACAUGCAAGUCGAACGAACCUUUCGGGGUUAGUGGCGGACGGGUGAGUAACACGUGGGAACGUGCCUUUAGGUUCGGAAUAACUCAGGGAAACUUGUGCUAAUACCGAAUGUGCCCUUCGGGGGGAAGAUUAAUCGCCUUUAGAGCGGCCCGCGUCUGAUUAGCUAGUUGGUUGAGGUAAUGGCUCACCAAGGCGACGAUCAGUAGCUGGUCUGAGAGGAUGAUCAGCCACAUUGGGACUGAGACACGGCCCAAACUCCUACGGGAGGCAGCAGUGGGGGAUCUUGCGCAAUGGGCGAAAGCCUGACGCAGCCAUGACGCGUGAAUGAUGAAGGUCUUAGGAUUGUAAAAUUCUUUCACCGGGGACGAUAAUGACGGUACCCGGAGAAGAAGCCCCGGCUAACUUCGUG
rnacentral:rRNA from 1 species